rnacentral:lncRNA from 12 species
AUGAAAGACCAAACUCAAUCUACUUCCUUAACAACUAGUAGAGUGAAUCAGACUCUCCCAUCAUCUACAAAGCCUGAUGUGGAAACCAUCCAGAAACCUGUGCAAGGUGAACAAAACACAGUUAGUGAAAAGAAAAAUUCUACUGCCAAAACAACAGCCAACACCGGUAGUCUUAAUCUUCCAAAGUUAGGAUCUACAGCAUUAAAUACCAAGCUGAAAAAUCAGACUCAUCCCACUUCCUUACAAAUGAGCAGCGUCAAUCAGACUCUUCCAUCCACUACAAAGCUGGUUGCUGAUGAAAUCAUACUUAGCGAGAAGAAAAAUUCUACUGUGAAGUCAACAUUCCAAACUAUUAAUGUUAAUGUUUCAAAGAAAGUGGCUACAUUAUUAAACACCAAAACGGAAAACCAGACUCAAUAUACUUCCUCAAAAACUAGCAGUGUCAGUCAGCGUCAAGACAUCGUCCAGAAACAUGUGCCUUCUCUUCAGGACCCACUUAGUGAGAAGAAAAAUUCCACUGUUAAGUCAAUAUCCCAAACUAUUAAAGUUGCGACUACAUUAUUAAAGACCAAAUUGAAAGACCAAAUUUCCUCAAAAAUUAGUAGAGUGAAUCAGACUCUCUCAUCAUCUACAAAGCCUGAUGUGGACACCAUCCAGAAGCCCGUGCAAAGUGUACAAAACAAAGUUAGUGAAAAGAAGAAUUCUACUACCAAGUCAACAGUCAAUAGUGUUAAUGUUAACUCUGAGAAACCAGUAACUACAUUAUUAAAGACCAAAAUGAAAGACCAAACUCAAUCUACUUCCUUAACAACUAGUAGAGUGAAUCAGACUCUCUCAUCAUCUACAAAGCCUGAUGUGGAAACCAUCCAGAAACCUGUGCAAAGUGAACAAAACAAAGUUAGUGAGAAGAAGAAUUCUACUACCAAGUCAACAGUCAAUAGUGUUAAUGUUAAUGCUGAGAAACCAAUAACUACAUUAUUAAAGACCAAAAAGAAAGACCAAACUCAAUCUACUUCCUCAACAACUAGUAGAGUGAAUCAGACUCUCCCAUCAUCUACAAAGCCUGAUGUGGAAACCAUCCAGAAACCUGUGCAAGGUGAACAAAACACAGUUAGUGAGAAGAAGAAUUCUACUACCAAGUCAGCAGUCAAUAGUGUUAAUGUUAAUGCUGAGAAACCAGUAACUACAUUAUUAAAGACCAAAAUGAAAGACCAAACUCAAUCUACUUCCUCAACAACUAGUAGAGUGAAUCAGACUCUCCCAUCAUCUACAAAGCCUGAUGUGGAAACCAUCCAGAAACCUGUGCAAGGUGAACAAAACACAGUUAGUGAGAAGAAGAAUUCUACUACCAAGUCAGCAGUCAAUAGUGUUAAUGUUAAUGCUGAGAAACCAGUAACUACAUUAUUAAAGACCAAAAUGAAAGACCAAACUCAAUCUACUUCCUCAACAACUAGUAGAGUGAAUCAGACUCUCCCAUCAUCUACAAAGCCUGAUGUGGAAACCAUCCAGAAACCUGUGCAAGGUGAACAAAACACAGUUAGUGAGAAGAAAAUUUCUAUUACCAAGUCAACAGUCAAUAGUGUUAAUGUUAAUACUGAGAAACCAGUAACUACAUUACAAAAGACCAAAAUAAAAGACCAAACUCAAUCUAAUUCCUCAAAAAAUAGUACCACUGAUCAGACUCUUCUAUCCUCCUUGAAGCCUGCUGUAGAUGUUGUCCAGAAACCUGUGUCUUCUCUUCCAGCAACAACUGGUGCAAAGAAAACAACUAGUAGUACCGAGUCAGUAGGACACAUUAUUCAUGUUAAUGCUUCAAAGUCAGUAAACACCAAAAUGAUAAACCAAACCUAUUCUGUUUCAUCAAAACCUAGUAACGUGGGUCAGACUCUCGUAUCCACAGCAAAGCCUGUUGUAGAUGUCCAGAAAUCUGGUCCUUCUCUUCAAGGCACAAUAAGCAAGAAGAAAAAUUAUACUUCCAAGUUAACGACUCAAACUAUUACUCAUAAUAUUCCCAAGCUAACUACAUUAGUGAAUACCAAAACUCAUCCAACUUCCUCAGAAACUAGUAGUAUCGAUCAGACUCUCCCAUCUACCUCAAAGCUUGAUGUGGAUGAAAGCACACUUAGCAAGAAGAAAAAUUCUACUGUAAAAUCAGUAUCCAAAAAUAUUGAUGUUAAUCCGCUGAAGACAUUAACUACAUCAUUAAACAUCAAAACAAAAACUAAAACUCAGUCUACUUCCUCAGAAAUUAGCAAUGUCAAUCAGACUGUUGCAUCUACCACAAAGCCUGUGGUCGAUAGAGUCCAGAAUCCAACUAAAGACAAACCUGCAGAGAGUUCACCAGUUAAAGUAGUCAUCACUGAGGGUUGCGUUCCUCAGGAGUCUCAGACAGACUCAGGUAACGUAACCAAAGUACAAGAAACUGAGCUCAGUUUGAAUCCUGGAUCUCCUCUGGUAAUGACUCAUCACAUCAACCUGGUUCAAGGAGCCUGCACAGGAAGCUGUGACACUGAGAUGGCCACACUGAGAGACAGAGUUGAGUUUCUUGAGAAGGAGAUGGCAGCGAUCAAAAAAAUGUGUAAGUAA